rnacentral:snoRNA from 1 species
AAGACUAUACUGUUGGGGAUUGUUUCUGUAAUUUAUUAUUAGAGAAGUUUCUCUGAAUGUGUAGAGCACCAGAAAAUACAAGGCAGAGAUGCAACAUUUUGUCUGGAGCAUGAAACUGGUUCUAGGUGUUGCUACACUCACUGCAGCUGCCAUAUGCCAUUGAUGAUUGGUCUUCUCCACCUUUGGGAAUGUGAGAGGGAGAGGGUGCAAUCGGAGUGGU